CUUAUUUAUUGGCUUUCAUAAUAUGUGAUUUCAAAUACACAGUAGAAACUACUAAAAAUAACGUGGAGGUAAGGUUUUUUUUUAAAUUUCAUAUAUAUAAUUGCAGUUUAAUUUUAUCAAGUAGCACAUUCACAUAUAAAAACUAAUAGUGUCGCGAGCUUUUAUGUAAAGCUUAUGGUAAAAUGUUUGCUGUAUCGUAAAUUAACGAAGAAAACUAGUAUUCAAUUCGGCCGAUAACCUAAGUAUUUUUUUUUCAAAAGUCAAUAAAAUCACAUAUUUUGUUUUACCUCACUUAACAUCAUAAAACAUUUGUUAUACAAACAAUGAAAAAAAAGAAGAUUUAAAAAGAAUAAAUCACACCUUUUGUAUAUUUAAAGACUUAACUGUAGAAGAGUUCGACAUUAUAUUGUUGAUACAACCAUAGUUUUGUCAUGAACAUGUGGAUUAUAAAUGCAUUUAGUUAUCCUUUUUAUACAAAAGAUACAAAAUGUACAAAUAGAAAUGACAUCUGUACAUGUCAUUCAGGUAAAUUCAGUUUGAAAGUGCAUUGGGCCCGGAAGAAUCCUUAUCAUUAUAUUUUAACAGAAACAUAUCGGUAUUCAAAUUUACCUUUCUUCAUACUUUUACAUAACGAAAGUUACCAGAGGCACAUUUAAACUCAUAGAUCGAAAAUAGACUCAAAAUCCUAUGGCUUUACAAAGAAAAAGACUAACAGUCAAACAAUAAUACACAAGACACAACAUAGAAAACUAAAGACAGAAUAUUGAAUCCAAAUUACUCAUGAAUACAUUACAGUUAAAUAGACACAGUCUAUUUAUAGCUAACAAAAGUAUCUCCGGUUAUAUGAUUAUAUAUAUGAAAGGCAAAAUCAAGAAUAGAAAUUUUGGCGGAUCAAGCAUAUUUAGAAAUUUGAAGAUAUGCAAAUCGUAUAGGAAUUAUAAUAUAACUGAUGUAUACGCAUUUACUCUGGUAUAUAGAAAUAUAGAAAUUUCAUGCAUGAAAAACAGAAAAUGCUUUUCAAAGAAACUUAACAGAUAUACAGACUUACAAUAUACUUGUAGUAUAGAGCAUGGGCACGUCCGGAGGCGGUUGGUCAAACUCCAUACUCUUUAGAUGUUGGCGUCAAAUGCUUAACCUAUUUUGAAGAAUACUUUGAUAUUCCAUUCCCUCUACCGAAAUCAGGUAUGAGAGUUUAUGUCUUCAGCUAAUGAAUAUUCAUUGUACAACAUACAUUAUAAUUAUAUAUGAUUCCCGUGAAUUGCGUUCGAAAUUAUUAACUUAUCAAUUUAUCAAUACAACUGUAUGUAUAUCAAUGUGUUCUUUUAUAGUUUUUGUUACAUAAGUUACUUCGUCUUGAUAAUUUGAAGAUAACUUACUUGAGAAAAAAGGGGCGAAAGAUACCAGAGGGACAGUCAAAUUGAAUUGAUAUAAAGACAGAUUUUUUAAAAACAAAAGUGACAGUUUAUUUUCCAUGAACCACGAGUUCGUAAGACUUCUAUACGGACAGCAAUACAGUAAUUAUUACUGAUAAAGUAAACGUCGGUAAUUCAUAUGUUUACACUUGCGGACAAUAUUGCUCAGUAAAUUUAACGUUCGUUGCGAGUAUGGAAUAGUCUAUUAUCUUUUUUAAUAUAUCUUUCAAUGAAAAAUACAGAAAAAUAAGAUUUAUAAAAAGAAGUGUGUCCUUUGAAAACAAUUUAUGUGGUGUGUUUAAAAGACUUAUUUUUAUAUUUUGUUUCCAUUACAGAGAACUUGUAAGUGGUAAGCGCCCUGCUUACAAUCAGAAUAGUAAUCAUCUAGUCUUAUUCCAUUGUUCCGUAUAUAAUCAUUAUCAUUAUCAUUUGAUUGUUUUAAUGUAUAUAUUAUAAUUGAUAGACAUGAUAGCUGUACCGGAUUUUGCUGCCGGUGCUAUGGAGAACUGGGGACUAAUUAUUUACAGGGAGACAGCCAUGUUGUAUGAUCCAAUGGAGUCAGCAGAGACCAACAAACAGAGG
rnacentral:lncRNA from 1 species